rnacentral:rRNA from 1 species
AACAUAUCAAUAAGCGGAGGAAAAGAAACCAACAGGGAUUGCCUUAGUAACGGCGAGUGAAGCGGCAACAGCUCAAAUUUGAAAGCUGGCCCUUUUAGGGUCCGCAUUGUAAUUUGUAGAGGAUGAUUCGGCGAGGGCUCCUGCCUAAGUCCCCUGGAACGGGGCGUCAUAGAGGGUGAGAAUCCCGUAUGCGGUAGGUUGCCUUAGCCAUGUGAAUCUCCUUCGACGAGUCGAGUUGUUUGGGAAUGCAGCUCUAAAUGGGAGGUAAAUUUCUUCUAAAGCUAAAUACCGGCCAGAGACCGAUAGCGCACAAGUAGAGUGAUCGAAAGAUGAAAAGCACUUUGGAAAGAGAGUUAAAAAGUACGUGAAAUUGUUGAAAGGGAAGCGCUUGCAACCAGACUUGUCCGCAGUUGCUCAGCCGGUCUCCUGACCGGCGUACUCUUCUGCGGCCAGGCCAGCAUCAGUUCGGGCGGUCGGAUAAAGGCCUCGGGAAUGUAGCUCCUCUCGGGGAGUGUUAUAGCCCGGGGUGGAAUGCGGCCAGCCUGGACUGAGGAACUCGCUUCGGCAAGGAUGCUGGCGUAAUGGUUGUAAGCGGCCGCA